AGGUGUGUGUGCAAAUAACCAAUCUCAAGUACCUUUCAGACAUUCAGUUAUAAUCAUAUAAACUCAUGAAUAAUGAAUGUGAACACUCCAUAUACUCAUUCUUCUCAUAACUCUUCACUAAUACAGACAAUCUUACUAACUUAGAUCAAAAGGUCUUCAUUAGGUUGUAAUGGGUUAUGGUAUUGGCUGCCAAAGAAGGGAUAAGGAAAAAUCAAAAACAAGAGAGCUA
rnacentral:lncRNA from 1 species